AGGUGUGCUGCGGGGAGAGGAUUAGCGCCACUGUGUACGGCCUUGUUUCUGUGGUGACCACACGAGCUGCUCUCCUUGGACACGCUGAGGUUCCGUGAGUAUUGCUCACCUCCUAAGACAGCCUUGCUGCCAGUUAUUUUUGCGUGGGUUCCCUGCUUCAUCUCUAAAAGAUGGAGAGAAAACCUCAUCAGGAAGAAAUGACUUGAAUUUCCACCAGCGAACAGGAGAUGGAGGGUGGCUUUGAGAUGGAACAUCUUGGCCAGCCGGAUUUUCAGAGCUCAUGGACAAGGCGAGGGCAGCGUGCUACCAGACAGAGGCUGGAAAAGCGCCCGG